rnacentral:rRNA from 1 species
GACGAACGCUGGCGGCGUGCUUAACACAUGCAAGUCGAACGGAAAGGCCCUGCUUUUGUGGGGUGCUCGAGUGGCGAACGGGUGAGUAACACGUGAGUAACCUGCCCUUGACUUUGGGAUAACUUCAGGAAACUGGGGCUAAUACCGGAUAGGAGCUCCUGCUGCAUGGUGGGGGUUGGAAAGUUUCGGCGGUUGGGGAUGGACUCGCGGCUUAUCAGCUUGUUGGUGGGGUAGUGGCUUACCAAGGCUUUGACGGGUAGCCGGCCUGAGAGGGUGACCGGCCACAUUGGGACUGAGAUACGGCCAAGACUCAUACGGGAGGCAGCAGUGGGGAAUAUUGCACAAUGGGCGGAAGCCUGAUGCAGCAACGCCGGGUGCGGGAUGACGGCCUUCGGGUUGUAAACCGCUUUCGCCUGUGACGAAGCGUGAGUGACGGUAAUGGGUAAAGAAGCACCGGAUAACUACGUG